rnacentral:tRNA from 1 species
GCUGCCGUAGCUCAGUGGUAGAGCGCGUCAUUGGUAAUGACGAGGUCCCGAGUUCAAUCCUCGGCGGCAGCACCA